GACGGAGGAUGCAAGUGUUAUCCGGAAUCACUGGGCGUAAAGGGUGCGUAGGUGGUCGGGUAAGUCCGAUGUGAAAUCUCCAGGCUCAACCUGGAAAUGGCAUUGGAUACUAUCUGGCUUGAGGAGUGGAGGGGGGACUGGAAUUCUCGGUGUAGCAGUGAAAUGCGUAGAUAUCGAGAGGAACACCAGUGGCGAAGGCGAGUCCCUGGACACUUCCUGACACUGAGGCACGAAAGCUAGGGGAGCAAACAGG
rnacentral:rRNA from 1 species